GGUGUGAUGGCAGAGUGGUCUAAUGCGAUUGUCUUGAAAAUAAUUAUGGUGGGUAACCAUCAUCGUGGGUUCAAAUCUCACUCACACCU
rnacentral:tRNA from 1 species